rnacentral:tRNA from 1 species
UCCUUUCUAGCUUAAGUAAAGCGUUAGUUUGAAGAGCUAAAGUUACAUUAAUUGUGGGAGGAG